rnacentral:rRNA from 1 species
AACCGGAUUAGAUACCCUGGUAGUCCACGCCGUAAACGUUGGGAACUAGAUGUGGGGACCUUUCCACGGUCUCCGUGUCGCAGCUAACGCAUUAAGUUCCCCGCCUGGGGAGUACGGCCGCAAGGCUAAAACUCAAAGGAAUUGACGGGGGCCCGCACAAGCGGCGGAGCAUGCGGAUUAAUUCGAUGCAACGCGAAGAACCUUACCAAGGCUUGACAUAUACCGGAAACUUCCAGAAAUGGUUGCCCCGCAAGGUCGGUAUACAGGUGGUGCAUGGUUGUCGUCAGCUCGUGUCGUGAGAUGUUGGGUUAAGUCCCGCAACGAGCGCAACCCUCGUUCUAUGUUGCCAGCACGUCAUGGUGGGAACUCAUAGGAGACUGCCGGGGUCAACUCGGAGGAAGGUGGGGAUGACGUCAAAUCAUCAUGCCCCUUAUGUCUUGGGCUUCACGCAUGCUACAAUGGCCGGUACAAAGGGCUGCGAUACCGUAAGGUGGAGCGAAUCCCAAAAAGCCGGUCUCAGUUCGGAUUGAGGUCUGCAACUCGACCUCAUGAAGUCGGAGUCGCUAGUAAUCGCAGAUCAGCAACGCUGCGGUGAAUACGUUCC